UGUGCAACCCGAAAGAUAGUAGUGAGGGGCUCGAUGCGAUUUCGAUACUCGUCUUAGAGACGGCUGCUCGAGAAAAAUUGCAAAAGUGUGGCGCAUAAAACGAAGUGAAUAAUUCCGAAAAUAAAUCAUCUGGAUUCGCGUAAGAAAUCUGCACGUGCGAGACAUCACGGAAGCACAAUUUACAGAUUUACGAUCGAAGUGAGGUAAUUCACGGAGUAUGUAAAGAACGUGGACGAGUGUUGAUUCUCAUGAAAAAGUACGAGGGCUUUGCAGAUGGUGACAUCAAUGAAAUAUAAUAGCGUCAAGGAUAUCCUGCACUUCGCGCUCUGAGGCGAUUAAUACACAACGAAUUUUUCUGGCGCAAACACGACGACGAGAAGCAAAAAUCGAUCGAGCAAAGAGGAUAUUUACGUCAUUAAACGAAGCGCGAGCACGUCGAGGCCAUUUUCUUUAUCAGCCACGUAGAAAUCCCUUAUCAUCGUACAUUAAAAAAUGUAUAUGUGUGUAGGGGAUAUCUCUCUCUCUUCCUGACGACGGAUAGUUUCGUGCCAGACGCCGCGAGGAGCAGCGAUACCGACAUCGCGCAGCCUGCGAUUUCCAGAUAAAAUCCGAAAUCAGAUCGAUCCAUCGUAUUCGGGAAUAAACUGUAUUGUGAACGAACGUAAACCGAAAAAGAAAAUUCGCGCAAAGUAGAAAAGUUACUUGGUUUACACGUAAAAACGGUUUUUACAGUGGAUGUUGCUUUCGACGUCGAUUGUGUCGUAAUCGAUGGAAAAUUCGGAAAGACUCUCAGCUCCCUGUGAUGAGGGAACGGUUUACCUUGCCGUGUACAAGCGCACAUCCGUGCGGUGUAUAUCUAGAUGUGUACGGCGCGUAUAAAGUCCUGAGAUCUCUUAUCAGCGGUCGGAAGGAGGGGAAGUUUGGGGGCGGAGGGUUGUUGUCAUGGUUACAAAGCACACAUCGGGGUAUGCUGAUAAGCGGAUCAGAUGUUCACGGAAUGCAUUUCUUCACGAAAUUUCUCGCAUGCGAUGACAUCGCUGCAAUUCGAUAGAAAUUUCUUUCUAUGGAAAAAUCUUGAACCCAUUUUAAAUUCACCCUAAAAGGUAUUUACAAGACUUAUCCUAGCAUUAUUAUAAUUAUAAUUGCAUAUUCCAAUUUGCAAUUAUAUAUUUAUAUUGAUAUGAAUAUAUAUAUACAUAUUACUAAUAACACACGUACAUAUUAUAUAUGAAUCGCUCAAACACCAAAGACUCUAUCAAUUUAUUUUAUUUAUGAAAAGUUAGGGCACCGAUUAUGUGCUUUGAUACUAAAAUUUGAAAAAUUACAAAAAA